GGAGAAAUGGCAGACAGGGAUGCAUUUAGCUUGAAACUAAAUAGAGGAAGGUUCGAAUCCUUUUUUCUCUU
rnacentral:ncRNA from 11 species